rnacentral:rRNA from 1 species
CCUGGCGACGAGUGGCGAACGGGUGAGUAAUAUAUCGGAACGUGCCCAAUAGUGGGGGAUAGCCAGGCGAAAGCCGGAUUAAUACCGCAUGAGACCUGAGGGUGAAAGCGGGGGAUUCGCAAGGACCUCGCGCUAAUGGAGCGGCCGAUAUCAGAUUAGGUAGUUGGUGGGGUAAAAGCCUACCAAGCCGACGAUCUGUGGCUGGUCUGAGAGGACGACCAGCCACACUGGGACUGAGACACGGCCCAGACUCCUACGGGAGGCAGCAGUGGGGAAUUUUGGACAAUGGGCGCAAGCCUGAUCCAGCCAUGCCGCGUGCGGGAAGAAGGCCUUCGGGUUGUAAACCGCUUUUGUCAGGGAAGAAAUCCUUUGAGCUAACAUCUUGGAGGGAUGACGGUACCUGAAGAAUAAGCACCGGCUAACUACGUGCCAGCAGCCGCGGUAAUACUUAGGGUGCGAGCGUUAAUCGGAAUUACUGGGCGUAAAGCGUGCGCAGGCGGUCUUGCAAGACAGAUGUGAAAUCCCCGGGCUCAACCUGGGAACUGCAUUUGUGACUGCAAGGCUAGAGUACGGUAGAGGGGGAUGGAAUUCCGCGUGUAGCAGUGAAAUGCGUAGAUAUGCGGAGGAACACCGAUGGCGAAGGCAAUCCCCUGGACCUGUACUGACGCUCAUGCAC